UACAGAGGGUGCAAGCGUUAAUCGGAGUUACUGGGCGUAAAGGGCGCGUAGGCGGUUUAAUAAGUUUGCUGUGAAAUCCCUGGGCUUAACCUAGGAACUGCAUCGAUGACUGUUAAGCUAGAGUAUUGUAGAGGGUAGUGGAAUUCCCGGUGUAGCGGUGAAAUGCGCAGAUAUCGGGAGGAACACCGGUGGCGAAGGCGGUUCUCUGGAACGGUACUGACGCUGAGACGCGAAAGCGUGGGGAGCGAACAGG
rnacentral:rRNA from 1 species